UGCAUCUCUUGGAUUACAAGCCACCUUGGGAUGUUAAAUGGCAACAGCACAAACAAAACUCUUUUGAGGAUAACACAGAGCAUCCAAGUGAGCAAGAAGAGAAAACAGUUCAGUUCACAGAUGAAGAGAAAGACCAGUUGAGGAGACUUCCAAAUAAAGAUUAUAUCCUUAAACUCAUAGGAAACAUAAUCCAUUAAAAUAAUUAAAAACCACUGAUAAGUGCUUUUCCAACUGAUUGAUUAGUUUGGAGAAGUAGUGUUCCCUUCUUUCAGUGAAACAACUUAGGUUUGGCUGGUAGCUUUGGGUUAAAAAGUGAUUCUAUAAAAGAAAAAAAAAAGGGAGAAAAAAACUGCUGCUGCAGUGCACACUAGUUGAAAACAAUAAAAUAUCCAGCUUUAAGUUAGUGUUGAAGAAAAGUUGCUAAUAUUAAUUUAAAAAUUGUGGAUUUGGAGCCUAGUGCAUAUAAAUACAAUAUACAUGUAUCCACCAAUAAUCACUUCCUCUUCCAUUAAAAUCCUUGAUUAUAAUAUUUUUAUUUGUUUACAGUAAUAGUUAUUU